rnacentral:rRNA from 1 species
AGUGAACGCUGGCGGUAGGCCUAACACAUGCAAGUCGAACGGCAGCACAGUAAGAGCUUGCUCUUACGGGUGGCGAGUGGCGGACGGGUGAGGAAUACAUCGGAAUCUACUUUUUCGUGGGGGAUAACGUAGGGAAACUUACGCUAAUACCGCAUACGACCUACGGGUGAAAGCAGGGGAUCUUCGGACCCUGCGCGAUUGAAUGAGCCGAUGUCGGAUUGGCUAGUUGGCGGGGUAAAGGCCCACCAAGGCGACGAUCCGUAGCUGGUCUGAGAGGAUGAUCAGCCACACUGGAACUGAGACACGGUCCAGACUCCUACGGGAGGCAGCAGUGGGGAAUAUUGGACAAUGGGCGCAAGCCUGAUCCAGCCAUACCGCGUGGGUGAAGAAGGCCUUCGGGUUGUAAAGCCCUUUUGUUGGGAAAGAAAAGCAGCAGGUUAAUACCCCGCUGUUCUGACGGUACCCAAAGAAUAAGCACCGGCUAACUUCGUG